rnacentral:rRNA from 1 species
UACGGAGGGUGCAAGCGUUGUCCGGAAUCACUGGGCGUAAAGGGCGCGUAGGCGGCUCGGUAAGUAGGGGGUGAAAUCCCUCGGCUUAACCGAGGAACUGCCCUCCAAACUGCUUUGCUUGAGGCCGGGAGAGGUGAGUGGAAUUCCCAGUGUAGCGGUGAAAUGCGUAGAGAUCGGGAAGAACACCCGUGGCGAAGGCGACAUGCUGGGUUGCACCUGACGCUGAGUUGCGAAAGUGUGGGGAGCAAACGGG